AAAAAGGCCCUUUUCAGGGCCGCCCACAAAAUCUUUAAAAAGAGCU
rfam:Erinaceus europaeus unplaced genomic scaffold scaffold00740, whole genome shotgun sequence